AGAAUUCAUUCAUUUUGAAAAUCUCAAGAUUUGUUUGGAUUAUACUUAGGUAUUCAAAUUAACUGAAAUGAAACAAGGAAUCUAACUAAUUAAAAUUUAUGUUAAUGUUUACAUUUUGUGUAUUAAAAGGAUGUAAAUUAGAAUUCUAUCAUUUUAUUUAUAAAUUAUAAUUAAUGUAACAAGAUAUAUCAUUGAAAAUUAUUAAGGCCCUAUUUAAUUGAAGCUAUUUAUUUUUUGGUUAUUGAACACCUCAAACAACAGCACCUGAUAAUAGGCAUUAAAAGACAUGUCAUAAGUACAAUAAAUUGUAAAUGAUAUUAUGCUUUUAAUAUAAUGUUACAUCAUCAUAACUGAAUAAGUCUAUUCUUUUGAUGAUUGGCAGUGAUUAAUUAUCUUGCUUUUACAGCCAAUUAAUAUACUGCUGUUCAAUGUAUACAGAUGUGUUAACACACAGAGAUAUAGCUUAUCUGAUCAAGAUAAGGACCAAUGAAAAUACAGGCUUCUGAAGCCAUUUUACACCUGUACCCCAAAAAAUAAUCCCAAUAUUUCUGCUUGGGUUUUUUUUUUUUUUUUAUGUGACCUUUGCAAAAUUACUGCUGUGUAUUGCUGUGAGCAAAUAAAUGGUCAAAUUUCCCCAUGAACUGUAUAUUUCUAUAUUUUAAGAACAUUCUAUAUAUUCCCUUCAGUAACUAUAUUGUACCAAAGAAAAUGGCUCAUGAAUACAAAAAUUUGAAUGUAAACAGGUUUGUUCAUGUUGUUGGAGGCAAACAGAAUAGAGCUCACUUGAAACUCUAAAAUGCUUUUAGAGAGAUAUCAGAUGAAAGAGUGUGCAUAUCUAGUUAUUUGAAGUAUGCCUAUGUAUGUAAUGAUGUAGUCAGAGAAAUCAGAUGGCUUCAGUGACUAUGCUACAGGAUGAUAUGAGAUCACAGGCAGAAAUUCCAUCAAGGAUCAAGCAUUAAUUACAGAAUAUUUCAACUAUAAUGCAAAUGGCUGGAAUGAAGUUCCUGACACUGGUGAUGGUUUUGGAAAAGCAAAGAGACAUUCUGAUGCCACCUUGUAUUGAGCCUAUGAUACUCUAAAAAAUUUUCUAUCAAAUUAUUUUGAUAUUUAAUAUAUCUUUUAGUUUAAUUUUCAUGUUUAAGCUAAGUAAAUUUUUAUUUUUCUUAACCACAGAUGUAAAAGCUGCUGGCAGAUGUGUUAUUCCCCUUUGAAUUUUAUACUUUUUGUGUUUUUGAAACCCAGACCUGUCUCAAUAUUUUAUUAAAAUAAUUUUGUAAUAAUAUUUCUUUUUUUUUUCUUUCCACUUUUCCUCAGUGCCAGGCCUAAUUCAGAAAUGCCAAAGAUUUUCAAUCUUUUUCUACGUUGCAAUUCUUUGAAAUUGUUUGGAUUUUCAUAACAAAUCUCAAUUGAAUUCAUAGGAAUUCACUGGAAAUUUGUGUCAAUACCAGCAAUGUUUUCCAAUGGUUUUCCAUCAAACUUUUCCAAACUUUUGCAAAGAAUGCUUAGAAAUUCCUUGAACUUUACUGCAAUGAUUUCCAAUGAAUUUUCAAAGAAUUCCAUGCCGAUUUUCAACUGCAUGUUCCCCUGGGUAUGUGAAUUUAAAUUCAAAUUAAUUUUCAGACUUCUCUACUCAAAAAUUCAAAGAAAAUUUCAACCUGGGAAAUUUUCCAAGGUUUCCGUGGUUUUUUAAAACUGAGAACAUUUUAUAUGCUUCUCAGUUUUUAGAACCUUGGAUAUUUUACAAGGAUUUCUGUGG